UGGGGAAUAUUGGACAAUGGGCGAAAGCCUGAUCCAGCAAUGCCGCGUGAGUGAUGAAGGCCUUAGGGUCGUAAAGCUCUUUUACCCGGGAUGAUAAUGACAGUACCGGGAGAAUAAGCUCCGGCUAACUCCGUGCCAGCAGCCGCGGUAAUACGGAGGGAGCUAGCGUUGUUCGGAAUUACUGGGCGUAAAGCGUACGUAGGCGGUUAUUCAAGUCAGAGGUGAAAGCCCGGGGCUCAACCCCGGAACUGCCUUUGAAACUAGAUAGCUAGAAUCUUGGAGAGGUCAGUGGAAUUCCGAGUGUAGAGGUGAAAUUCGUAGAUAUUCGGAAGAACACCAGUGGCGAAGGCGACUGACUGGACAAGUAUUGACGCUGAGGUACGAAAGCGUGGGGAGCAAACAGGAUUAGAUACCCUAGUAGUCCCUGAGCGGGCUGGCAAGGCGCAU
rnacentral:rRNA from 1 species